UACCAGCACCCCGAGUGGUCGGGACGUUUAUUGGGCCUAAAGCAUCCGUAGCCGGUUCUACAAGUCUUCCGUUAAAUCCACCUGCUCAACAGAUGGGCUGCGGAAGAUACUAUGGAGCUGGGAGGCGGGAGAGGCAAGCGGUACUCGAUGGGUAGGGGUAAAAUCCGUUGAUCCAUUGAAGACCACCAGUGGCGAAGGCGGCUUGCCAGAACGCGCUCGACGGUGAGGGAUGAAAGCUGGGGGAGCAAACCGG
rnacentral:rRNA from 1 species